GCAACAGCUAUGGGGACAGCGGCACCCACAAAUGUCUUGACACGCAGUAAAACAUCUGGGCCAAAUGUGUAAGGAGAGAUCUGCAAAGAAACAUUGAAAAGAAAAAUAUACGAUGUCGAUGUCUCCUUAAAGUACGAUUAUACUUUAAGGAGACAUCGAGCAACUAUUUAUAGGCUCAGGAAUCAGCUCAAAACAAUGUCAACUAAAGUAUGAUAUACACCAAAACAGUUAAUUGCAAAUGCAGCUAGAUUCUUAGACCUAAAAUUAGUGAGUUUUUUAAUGCUCAAAUAAAAUGUAGCACCACCACAAAUAAUGGUCGAAGAUACAGCCAAACAAUGAAAAGUUUUGCCUUAGCCACGUACUAUAGCAGUCCAAGGGCUUAUAGAAUGCUGAAAUCCUGAAAUGUAGAUACUCCCUGUGGCAUUGUGUUUGAUGCAAUGCAUAUAAGUGAAGAAGCAAUGAUUCCAAAACAGUUUUGAACAAAGGAAAUAACCUUUGUUUUGUCAUAAUUGUCAAAAAUUGUUAUUUAAUAAUAAUAAAAAAAAAUCUUA